UCAUAUCCCAGUUUUUAAUCAUUGAUUAAAGACUUAAUAAUUAGGGUUCGGCAUCCAUUAAUAAUAAAAAUGGUUUGAUUUAUCAGAUGUCAUUUAAUUGUUUUAUAUGUGUCUUGAUGUGCUUAAUUCUUAUUAUUAUUUGAAUCCGUUUGAAUUUUUAAAGGAUCUUUAUAAAUAUGGUGCACAAGUUUAAUUAGUGGUUUGAGCAUAUUAUAUGAGCCUUAUGGAUUUUUUUUUUAGUGGGCAUGAAGCCAUGAAAUUUCCUUUAAAUGGGAUAUUAAGUUUUAUAAAGUGUUUUACUUCAAUAAUUUUACUGCAAGGAUUUCAUAAAGAAUCUUUUAAUUGAUCAGAGUCAAGAGCUCUAUUUAAAUUUGAUACAUCUUAACCGUAGCCUACUUCCCCACCAUUACAUUUUUUUUUCUUCUUCUUUCUUUUUCCCCACCACUACACCUAAUCUUCCACUUCACUACCAACUUUCACCACCAACUCUCCUUUAUGCAGACAAUCAAAUCCUCAUAAUCUUAGCAAAUCUUAUCAUCAAUCCUCUGCCAUUUCAAUUAGACAAAAGCCAAGUUUUAAAAGCUAAGUUUCAUUCUAUUAGUUCAUCCGCUCUUUCCUUCUCUUUUCAACACACCCAACAAAGUUUAAAGUGCAGAGUAAUCAAGCAGAUUCAGAUCCAAAUUCAUUGUUAAAUUGUUGAUUCGCAGAUCCAACUUUGUGAGUUCAGAAAAUUAUCAAGGUUACCUCCUACUUUACUUUUUCCAUACAUUCAUUUGUUAAAUUACAAAACUAUGAUUCAAAUGAAAACAGAUAGAACACACGCAUCCAUUACCACUUCUUUUAGACUAUUAUUGUUUCAAUUACAUUAGCUUAUCACCAUCAGAGAACCACCAACAGAAUAAUACACACGCACACAUUUUACUAUAUUUCUAUCUAUUACAAGUACAGAUCAGUUUUUGUAAAUAGAAAUGAAUGAAAAUGAACAGAA